CCACGUCUUCUUACAGGUAAUAAAAAUAGAAUAUGUUUACCCUUCUCUAUAUUACAGCAAUAGCCUGGUGUUCAAGCUUCUGAAAAAAACAUCAAGCAUGGUGUUCAACAAAAGCAUCGUUCUAUUAAUGGUCGUUGGACUCUUUCUUAUGACGAACGCAGCAGAUACCAAAGCAAAAUGGUGCCACUUCUUCUUUGGAGGUAUUGCAGUAGGUGCAAAGCCACUUUUGGGGGCUGUUUGGGGACCAAUUUACGCAUCUGGGAUCUCGUCGGUUAUUUUUUCAGUUGCUGAAAAACUUUGCGGUGAAUGAAAUAAUUGCAGCUUUCUUUGAUUAUAAUCAUAUUUAUUUUACUAAAUAUAAUAAUUAUCAUGUUUUAAUAUUCAGAUAAUUUGUUUUUAUUACACGUGUUAUGUUUUAUCUUUAUUUUUUGUAGGUCAUGUAAUGAUUAUAAUAUUUUUUUUAUAUGGAAGUUGAUUGUAUGAGUAGUAGUUAAUAGCUGUUUUUGCUUUACUUUGGUAGUACAUGUAUACAAUCUUUAUACUUGCUAAUAAACAGACAUGACUACAUUAUAAAUGUUUAACAAUAUGACACCUUUUGUCACAAAUGAACUAUGCUUAAUUUAACAUAUUUAAAUGUCAAAAUGCAAUAAAAUAAAUCGUGUCCGUUGAUACAAAAUAACACUUUAUCUAAAAUUUUGUAAAAUGAUGAGAUUUGUUAAAUUUCCCAGUUGCCAAGACAUUUUAUCGUUAAUAAUCAGUUAUAUUAUCGUUGUUUUGUUUUACACAAUAAAA